UACCCCACCAGCUAGCCCAACCCCUUAAAAACAACAACCCACUACAAAUACACCUUAUGCCCUAUAUAAAUUAAAACAUUUUUCCACCUGAGUACGGGAGACAGAAAAAG
rnacentral:rRNA from 1 species